UACGGGGGGGGCAAGCGUUGUUCGGAAUUACUGGGCGUAAAGGGCGCGUAGGCGGUUUGCUAAGUUGGACGUGAAAACUCUGGGCUUAACCCAGAGCCUGCAUCCAAAACUGGCAAGCUAGAGUAUUGGAGGGGGAAGCGGAAUUCCUGGUGUAGCAGUGAAAUGCGCAGAUAUCAGGAGGAACACCGGUGGCGAAGGCGGGGCUCUGGGCCGAUACUGACGCUGAGGAGCGAAAGCGUGGGGAGCGAACAGG
rnacentral:rRNA from 1 species